UGCCAAAGAUCAUUCCUCAGUACUUCGCUGGCGCAGAGCUCGUCGGCGAUGGCGAAGCUGGCAGCACAAAGACCUUCCACUUCACUCCAGGUUUAGAUUUUGAUGCUGCUUUCCGACAUUCGUGUGCGUGCGAGAAGAGAUCGCAAAACAAGGAUAAAAAAUAAUCUCACAUCGAUAAAAAGAAUCGGAUGAUACAUAUCGAAACCUUUUUGGUUGAAUUGAUGUAUGAUCUGUUAAUUGGAACUAAUUUGGCUAUUGUUGCGAUCCAUCGAACUGCAGCCGCAGAGCCACUGACCUUCGUGAAGGACCAUGUUGAGGUGUUGGACCACGGAAGCCACACGAUGAGGUACAAGGCGAUCGAAGGAGGUCACCUCGGCCGCACGCUCAAGUCGCACGCGUUCGAGGUCAAGUUCGAAGCGGCGGGCGCCGACAGCUGUGUCGUGAAGACCAAGACAGAAUACGAUACGAUCGACGACGCGCCGCUGCCGGAGGACGAGGUGCAGAAGAUGACGGACGUGCCAGUACGGAUGAUGAAGUCGGUGGAAGCCUAUCUGAUAGCCAACCCCGGUGUUUGUGCCUGAGCCCCUGAGCCUCUGAGCCGGUGGGCUUUCGUGUACCGACGUUGGUGCUUCCAGUGUCGUAGUGCUUGUCAUUGGGCGUGGAUCAAUCAAUAAUGAGGUGAUGCAGCAGUGCUGGAAUCAUCACCUUUAGAGUGAGAGAGUGAGAGAGUGAGAGAGAGAUAGGACAUGACAUGUUGAUGCCAUCUCUCUCUUUGUCUGUUCUUUCCAUCUUCUGCAAUGUGGUGUUUUGUGUGGUCGUUGAAGGACAUAUAUCUACAAAUAAGAUGUGAUUUCUUUGGUAUCAUGUAAUCCUUCUUUUUUGGUAUCAUUCUUAGUAGUCUCUUUUAAAGAUUCAAAGACUAGCGUAAUCCAAAUUAAACAUGGAUUUAAUUGAUUUUACUUAAACUAUAUGAUACGUUUAUAAUGUUUGUUCGUAACGAGUCAACCUUCUCGUAAUUUUAUUUACUCUCAUCCAUAAAUAAAUCAGUUACCGAUAAAUGAAUGCAUGAACAAACAAAUCGAUGUCACCUUAGUAAAAUAUACCUUGGGAUUAUAUAACUAAAAUUGAACAAAAUACCUUCUUAGACGACUAAAAUGGAUGCAUUUUGCUGAAAGAUUUUACGAUAAAAAAUUGAAGGUUAAUUCGUCGUCCAUAAAGUUUAAGUACAUAAGUGAUAGGUUCAUCCAUCGUCCAUAAAGUUUAAGUACAUAAGUGAUAAAACUUCAUCCAAUCUUAUGUUUGUUCAAAAUUUAUAUAAUUAAAUUUGAACAAAAUAUCUUACUAAAAUGGAUGCAUUUUGCUUGCUCUGAAAAAAUUUUACGAUAAAAAAUUGAAGGCUAAUCCAUCGUCAAUAAAAUUUAAGUACAUAAGUGAUAACGUAUCUUAGAACUUUCAUCCAAUCUUGUGUCGGUUCAAAAUUAAAUGUUAACAUGACAUGAGAUUUGACGUAAUAGUGAUGUGACCUUAUCUACAAACUCGAUAGAAACAAAUUAAUUCUUCUAUUUUUUAAGAUAAAUACUGGUAAUACGGCAACAUCAAAAAUAUUAUAUCGUACAAUUUGGUUCUUCCUCUUAGUUUCAAACAUGAAGCUCCACAAAGACGGCAAUAAAAUAAAAUUAACGAAGAAAAAUGCAACACGACAUCAACUCAUCGUGAUCUCACUCACCCUAACAAAGAAUAUAAUAAUAAACUACACCGUUGAAUGAACUGUUAAUUCUUUCAUUAAAUGCAUGAAAUACAUUUAUGGUGAAACUUUGUUUCUAACAUACAUACAUACAUACAUACAUACAUACAUACAUAUUUUAAUCUGACUAGCAUAUGCUUGAAGAAUCCGAUCAUUCUCGACUACGGCUGAUGAUGAUAUGGGGCUGCUCAACAAUGAAGACCGCAAAGUCUGCAUGCUUGUGAGCUUUGAAGUCUUCGCUUCAGUCAACAAAUACUAGCUAGUUUGAAUGCUUCCAAGUUUACCAUGACACCCACUUCUUAGAACAUUGAAUUGGGAUGAGGAUGCCAACAAGAGAAGAUGAACCGAUUCAUUGGCAUGGAGCGAUCUUCGCGUCAUCUCAGACCCCCCCCUUUUUCCAAUCUAAUCGAUGAGGUUACCUAAAGUUCAAACUUCAUCUGGAAGCCCGAGAUGACCCGGCACUCCAUCGCCGUCUAUAAAUGGACUCUUCCCCUUCCCUUCACCACCAACCCAUCACAGCCUGCAGAGCUCUCAUCCGGCAAAACACCUUCAUCGACGCCAUGGUUGCCGGGUGCUGCACCGAAGAGCUGACGCUCAAUGUCAGCGUCCACAGAGUAUGGAAGGCGGCCGCCUGCGAGGAUCACAUCCUGCUGCCAAAGAUCAUGCCGCAGUACUUCUCCGGCGCCGAGCUCAUCGGGGAUGGUGAAGCUGGCAGCACCAAGAUCUUCCACUUCGAUCCAGGUUUGGAUUCACAUCACCAAUGCUUCUUUCAGGUAACAGGAAGAUCCGUAAACUAUGCUGAUUUCAACUGGCAAUUCUGUGGAUGAGACUGCAGGUAUGAAGCCACUGAUCUUCGUGAAGAACCAUGUCGAAGUGCUGGAUCAUGGGAGCCACACCUUGAAGUACAAGACCGUCGAGGGAGGCCACCUCGGCCACACGCUCAAGUCGCACACCAUCGAGCACAAGUACGACGCCUUGAGCGCCGACACCUGCUCUCUGAAGAUCAAGGUGGAGUAUGAUACCAUCGACGACAAGGGGCUCCCCGAGGAGGAGGUGAACAAGAUCAAGGAGGGGUCGGUAUGGGUCGCCAAGGCUGUGGAAGGUUACCUGACCACCAACCCCGCUGCUUAUGCCUAAGCCUCUGGAAACUAUCCGUAUUGUCUGUCAUGUGUGGCUUAAUAAUGGUGGCGAUGCAGCAAUACUACUCAUCGUCACCACGAGAGAGAGAGAGAGAGAGUGUGUCUGUGUGUGAGACAACGUGACAUUGUUGCUCUGUUUCUCUCUCUCUCUCUCCCAAUCUUUGUGCGUGUGAAGUGUAACGUACGUACGAGGCCAAUAAUAAGUUGUGCUUUCCUUGGUAUUAUCAUUUUAAUUAAUAUAUGUGUGAGAUAUUAUCUCCUCGAGAAGACUGCUGAACCCAUCAUUUGUAUUUAAUUAUUCGAAAAUUCUAAAUUAUAUAUGUAUUUAUCUUUUGGUAUUAUUUGUCUCCAAACUAAUUACUAAUUAUCAUAUAUUUCGAAUUAAAUGAAUCGGAUAAUUGAUUUGGAGCCCCGUCGAUACCGUCUGAUCUCGAUCGGACGUCGCACCGAGCACGCCGGAAUGACAAAACUACCCCUCCCAAAGCUUUGCUUCCGGGGUAUUUUCGUCAUAUCAACAUCUCAUGUCGCUAGGGUUUCCGCCGCCACGGUGGCCGUGCAAGCGCCGGCCUCGGUUCUGCCGCCUCACAAGAUCAGCUAUCCGGUCUCCCGCAGCGAACCUCGAAACUGGACCGUCCGGUGCGGCUCUUAGUGGUUCGCGGGUCCCACUGUCACUCCUUUGUUGACGCAUAAUAUAGAGCCACGUCGUUGGUUUGAGUCUUCCCUGCUUGCUGCGGCGCGGCGGUUUCCCAGCUGGCCCUCGGGUUCCUGCCCCGGGUAAUGCGGUAAAGUGCGCCCGCACGGGGAAUUAAAAUAAGCCGGUGUCGACCAGAAAAGUUGGCUUACAUGAACUAGUUGAAAGCUACCAUUAAAGUAAGUCUUCCAUGUUUGCCUCUUUCCCUCCACUCCCUCCUCUGUUCCUGAGAGUUCCACACCUCUCGCUAUUCCCACGCAUGUAUAUUAGCACAGUGUGGCUCUGAAGUUGCCUCAUCUGUGUCUUUCUGAAAGGGAUCAGAGGAGGAGAUGACGAUAGGCGAGAGGAAGGGAAACGGCGGUGCUCUUCCUCGUUAGCUUCGGAUCUCUGGUGGCUGCCGCUUCUGAUUGAUAAGAAGGUGGAUCGGCCCCUGGAUUUACCUGCAGUGGAGCAGCUUAAGUGUGAGAGAGUAUGGAAUUCCGGCCUGGUUUGACGGAUCCGAGUCACGGAGUAAGAGAAAUGGUAAGCCUGCUCAUGCUUCGUUUCUUGUACUGCUGAGUAGAGUUUGCUGCUGCUGAUUCAUGUGCUGAUUCGCAUUGGCUUCUUGUUUCUGGCUUCGAUUCGAUCUGCAGUCUUCGGGAUCUUCAGAUCCGAGCAGUAGCACCAGCAGUGGUGAUUCCCAGAUUAAGCGCUGCGCAGAUUGUCGAACCACCACGACCCCUCUCUGGCGAGCCGGUCCUUGUGGUCCCAAGGUAUGCGGGUGCGACUGCCGGUCUGAUCGAUGCUUUCUUUUGGGCAUGUUUUCUUUCUUGAUCUGAUUGGUGGACUCGUGAUCUGCGGCUGCAGUCGCUCUGCAACGCGUGCGGGAUCCGGUACCGGAAGAGCAGACGAGCGGUGCCGGUGUCGAAGGAAGCAGGGACGGGAAUGAGGAAGACGAAGAGAGAGAUUGACGGCGGCAGUGGCGGGGAGAGGUUUGAGGUGUCCUUUAAGCUUCGGAUGUUGGGGCCGGGAUUGUGCAAGCCGAGAUCCAUGGUUCAGAAGCAGAGGAGGAGAAGCAUGCUUGGGGAAGUGGAGGAGGCCGCAGUCCUCUUGAUGGCCCUCUCGUCCGGCUUCCUACAUGCCUAGGUUUAAGUCGAACAAGACAAAACGACCUCCUUUUUUGGUGGAUGCAAUGUAGUGUUGUUGGCUCUAAUUAUCACUCUUGUGCUACUACUGUAUGAUGCUGCCAAGCGGUAUAGUGAAGCAUGUGGUUACCAUCUUAGUUAUAGUAAAACCUGGACUCCAAAACAGCGAUGAUAUCACCAAUUACUUUUGUGGUCGAGUUGGUGAAGCUUUGCUGCGUUGGAGCUCCUCGAAUAAUAAUAGUUUGUAGGUUCUAUCUAAAUAGUUUGCCGACUGAGAAGCUAAAACGUUUGUGCAUUUGGGGACCUUUGUGGUGAUUGGUUUGAGACAGCAUUAGCUUUUGGUAAUGGUUGUUGCUCGGUGAAGAAGCAUUAGUUUGAUUGUUGAAGGCUCAUAAUGAUUGGAAAUGUGUAAAGCUGCCAAUGCUGCUUGCGGAAUGAACCUUUUUGAGGCAACCGUGGGUUUGAGCUUGUGAAAGGUGCCAAAAGUUGGGAGGAUGUGUUGUUGUCUUGGACGAUUCCCUUCUUUUGGUUGGUCGGUGAUCAGCUGGUACUUGGGUUCUCUCGGUUAUAUCAGGUAAGAGUGUGCUCAAUCAUAUAUAUUUCUAUUCGAAAAUAGUUUAAUGGAUUGCUUAUUUCCACAAUAUCUAACCAAAUGCGAGAAUGAUUGAUGUUGAUUGCUAUUUGAAAGAAGUCAAUAGCUUGCUUAUUUCCACACUAUCUUAUUGAUUGAUAUUUCCAUAGCAAGAUGAUUGACCCUUUUUCUUUUUCUCUCUGUUUCAUUUAUUAUAAUUCUUCGACUGCAACAAUCACAACUGUUUCUUUCAUUCUUUAAUGUAUCAGUGCUUUAGGAUUCGUGUCUCUGUUAGAUCUGUUCCGAAAGAAAGACAAGUUUAAUCUAAUAAAUAAAAAAAAAGAAAAGGUCAGUCUGAUCAACGGUCGUGGAGAAGCGGAUGAAGGGCUGCAGUUUAACCCGUUACUCCAUCCGGAUCCGACCACCCUUCGAGUGAUGGCAGCCUUCCGUUCCAUCUCCGUCGUUUCCUACACGGCCGUUGGAAGAGCUCAUCGGGUUGCUUCUCCUUCCGCCGCAGGAUCUCCGGCCAUUUCGAGUUCACGGCAGCAAGCAAGCGAUCUGUAGUUCGCGCCGCUUUCGGGAGCGGAACUGGGAUUGCUGUUUUAGUCCCACAUCGCAAGGGGAGCGGGAGGGGAAAGUGGGGGGCUUGUAUAUGAGGGAGUGGGGAUCAACCGAUGAUCCAUACUUACCUGGACGGGGUCUAUGGGCGAUCAUGAAGGCUCAUGGCCUAGAUCAGUGACCUCCAUUGCACCGGGGAGGGGUGCUGGUCUACCAUCUCCCCAAGCGGGAGAGUGGACGUCAUAAUUUGUGGUAGAGGGGGAACGCGUUCGCGCGGCCCCCGCCAAUACUAUUCAAGUGUUCCGAUGCAACUCCAUAGAGUUUUCUGAGACUCUUAAUAAAAGCUGCAAUAUCUGCACUGUAUCACUCGUCGGCGAACUAUCCUUCGCAGAACAGACGUGUUUGCUGGGAUCAAUGCAGCCUUUGGUGCUCUUGGAAAUCAGAUCCCUCCCCUGUUGUGCCCUUGAAUGGGUUAGUGGUAAGAGAGAGCUCUUCCACCGGCCGUGUGGGAGACGACGGAGAUGGAAGGGGGAGGUUGCCGUCACUCGAAGUGUGGUCGGAUUCGGAUGGAGUAACGGGUUAAAACGCAGCCUUUCAUCCGCUUCUCCACGAUCGUUGAUAAGACCAACUUUUCCUUUCGGAACCAAUCUAAAGCAGACACGAAUCCUAAAGCACUGAUACUAAGAGUUGAACCCCUUUGUCGCUUUCCAUACCACCCCCAAACUCUCCGUCACCGUCCCGCUCCCCACUCACCGUCUCCGCCCGCGGCCUCUCCCGGAAUCGGAUCGCGCUGCCCCAUCUUCGGCCUCCGCCUCUUCUUCCGUCCAAGGUGAAACGCUCUCCUUCUCCCGUCAUCGGUUUGCUUGCCUUGCCCACGUCCCUCUAUUCGGAUGCUGUUGCGCUGCGGUUUCUGCGUCAUCAUGGGUUACGAAGCCGAGAUCUUGUAGCCGUUUGGCAUGUUGUUUGGAAUUAGACGUAGAAUAAUGAUCUGUUUGCCUCGAUUUCAUCAUCGAUCAACCGUCUGCUUGAUUUCUGCUUUCAGCACCAAAUCCAGCCAAUCAAAGCUUUUCAUCUUUAAUAUUUCAAGAUUUUGAUGCACAAAUGGCAAGGGAUUGUUAGGCAUUUUCAAUGGCUGGAAUUUUUGGUUCCUUCGUUGUACUGAAACUAUGGGCUAUUAGAGAUGAAUAUUGUUGUUUCUUUUGGAGAAAGAAACUAACUUUAGAGAUCAAUCAUCAUUUUUAGGCUUUAUUGAAUUCAGAAACUUUACGAGAAUUGCCAUCAGAUCACGCGCUUGGUUUCAAGACAUUUUACGUUAGUGUUCCAUCUAGGGGUUUGAAUCCAUCAUGCAUAUAUUGAUUGCUGUGUUUGCUCCAAAACCUUGAUUAGUAUAUUUGAAGAGUGGAAAGGUCACCUGGCAUUCAGGUACUUGACCCACACUAUCCACCACUAUUCUUGAUUACGAUGUAUCAAUUGCAAUAUAAUUUUCAUAGCAGUUCUUUUUCCUCUAAACAUUUCAGGAUAUCUUGUUAAAUAAGGUUGAAUUUCUUUUAACCAAAACUGGACUUUUGAAAAGUAUAAUUUAAUGCCCUUGAACCUUAUGAUUUCCUUUGAAUCUUGAAGGUGUCGAGAUUUAUUUUUGAGAUUUGUCAUCGUUCAGAAUAAAUCUGCUGCAUUUUGUGAAUACAUUCAUAACCUCAUAUCUACUAUGCAUGUGUUGUAGGCAUUUCCAUUUUGCAACAUGAUAACUAGUAUGAAUUCAAAUGGAAAAGUAGUAACUAACAAAAGAAAGGUUCUUGAUAACUUAAUACUUCUCUUAAGGACUAACCGUAGCAAAUAGUUGUCUUAAGGUGUUUCUUGAUUGUGGUUCUUUUCUUUCUCGAACACUCGUGACCAUGGCAUGACUUAUUGUUCCUUCGCCCAUCCUUUGUUGGCAUUAUAUAUAUCGCUCUUUAGAGAGAAAUGUGGUCAACACAUGUAAGCAAAACUCUGUCUAAAUCAUUUGUUUUCUUUUGAUCGUAAAGAAUGAAAAAGAGAAAGUCAUGGUCAUUCAUAUCCCAAAGCAUACAGAUUCAUUUGAUUUUCUUUCGACUUUCUGUCUCUUUUUCUCGGUCUGCGGCAGGCAGUCACAACAGUCACCAGCAUCCUCUUCUUCGUUAGAAUUGCCAAGAGGGGCCACCAUAAUCGAAUGGCUAUCAUCGCCAACCAUCUUCAUUAUUAAAAGUCUGAUAUCUUGGGCAUUAAGUUUGUUGCAAUUGGAAGAAGACGUAUACGAUGAGUAUGACAUUACAUUUUUUGCCUUCCAUGAAUGAUCAAUCACUGGAGUAAAUAAAUUGGUUACUGCCACUGAAAUCUCACCCCCUGUUAUCUUGAUAAUUGUGUAGAAAAUUGAGGUUCCCGCAUGAACAAUGUGAGAGUAGAUGUACCAUGGCAAACGCCGAAUGAUUCCAGCUUUAUGUAUGUGCACCUGAUGUAACCUGUGAUGCAUUUUCAGGAACAAUGGCCAGCAAAUCUAGCAGUGAUAGUCGGGAGCCAGUGAAUGAGCAAAUUAUUUUAAACACAUAUGCAAACAUGCGGUCAGAAAUUAACCAGAUCUACUCAAAGAUCACUGAGCUAGAAAUGGAAGUCAGUGAGCACUCCCUUGUAAUAGGUGCCAUACAACCACUUGAUCCAUCACGCCGCUGCUACCGGACGGUUGGUGGUGUGCUGGUCGAGAGGACAAUCAAGGAAGUCGUGCCUGCUGUGCAGCGCAACAAGGAAGGUCUCGAGGAGGUCAUUGCUCGCCUCAACGAGGCACUGGAGAGUAAGAAGAAGGAGAUUUCAGAAUUUGAAUUGAAGUAUAAGAUCAAGAUAAAGAAAGCUGACAGCGAGACCAAGGAGGAUCCCAACCUAAAAGAAGGUUCUGCGCAGGGGGUUCUUGUAGGCCCUGCAAGCUAAUGGAAAGUGCUAGGAAAUCAAGUAUGGAUGUCUUUUUCAUGGCAUGAUAAAUCUGGUUUGUAUUUUCUAGACAGAAGACAUUUUCCUGUGAAGUUUCUGUUGCAUACGAGUCCUGAUG
rnacentral:lncRNA from 1 species